CCUACGGGUGGCAGCAGUGAGGAAUAUUGGUCAAUGGGCGCGAGCCUGAACCAGCCAAGUAGCGUGAAGGAUGACUGCCCUACGGGUUGUAAACUUCUUUUAUAAAGGAAUAAAGUGAGGCACGUGUGCCUUUUUGUGUGUACUUUAUGAGUAAGGUUCGGCUAACUCCGUGCCAGCAGCCGCGGUAAUACGGAGGAUCCGAGCGUUAUCCGGAUUUAUUGGGUUUAAAGGGAGCGUAGAUGGGUUGUUAAGUAAGUUGUGAAAGUUUGCGGCUCAACCGUAAAAUUGCAAUUGAUACUGGCAGUCUUGAGUACAGUAGAGGUAGGCAGAAUUCGUGGUGUAGCAGUGAAAUGCUUAGAGAUCACGAAGAACUCCGAUUGCGAAGGCAGCUUACU
rnacentral:rRNA from 1 species